UCAGUUUGCUAGCUAUGCCGGUUAAGCAUGCUCGGUUUACCCAUUGCAUGUGCUGCUCCUACCUUUCCUUAACAAAUUCUAGUGAAUUGUGGUAUCUACUUUUACCAUACAAUCUGUUGCUCUAGUGUAUAUGUUCUAUAUGUCAUGCAAUGUGGUUCUCACUUAUUAACUGUUUGGCUAAUUAGUUGUCGUCUUCAGUUAACUGUUUGGUUCAAUUCUUCCAAUGUGAUGUUCAAUUCUUCAGGCUGCAAUUUUGUAUUGUCUUCCAUGUGAGAAAUAAAUCGAAUUUAUCUUUACAAAAUACAUGUGAAACAAAUAGAAUUGCUAUAUUUCCAAGUUGUCAAGCAUGCUUGGUUUGGUUAACUAUCUGCUCUUCUAAUAUGUUAUACAUUGUGCAAUGUGGUGCUCAGUUAACGUUUGGUUCAUUUGUUGUGGUGUUUUGUUAACUGUUUGGUUCAAUUCUGC
rnacentral:lncRNA from 1 species